rnacentral:rRNA from 1 species
AUGAUGAUAAUCACGCUGAAACACCGGUUCUCGUACGAUCACCGAAGUUAAGCAGCGUAGAGCCAGGUCAGUACUUAGAUGGGGGACCGCUUGGGAACAGUCAGU